rnacentral:lncRNA from 1 species
GUGGGCGGCGAACUAACUUUGGGGUUGAGGGCACAAUUUUCCUCUGUCCUCUCCGCUCCACUCUGCCGUCUUCUUUAGCUUUCCCUUGCCUAGACUGUCCUUCCCUCUACCCCGCUUGCUCCCUGGCGGGCGCGUCUUCUUUCAAACUUUUAGGCGCUCCUCGCCCCAGUGCUCUCUGGUUUCCGGGAGCCGGGAGUGGAAGCCCACGCCUGCCUCGCGCGGUGUUUGUGAAGUCGGAAAACUCUUAGGUGGGCCCUGGAAAAAUCUUUCUGAUUCCUCGAACAAAUUGGCUGGAGGUGAGGUCGUGGUCCUGGGGGGAAGGAAGCAGCUGUGGCCGCGCGGACCACCUGUGUGCAAUUGGCGAUCCCGGGAAGCUAUCGCCAAAGCCUUAAGCACAGCAGCUCAGCUCUCCAGAGAGCAGCGCUGGUCUUUGCUGCUUGUUACUGCUCGCAGGUGUGGGACACACACACACACACACACACACACACACACACACACACACACACACACUCACUCACUCACUCACUCACACACACAUAGUUGAUGGCUCACACACACACACACACACACACUCACUCACUCACUCACUCACUCACACACACAUAGUUGAUGGCUCCGCUGUGGAACUCUCCUUCACCACUUAAUUACCCGGAAGGCCUUGCAAGAAGCUAUUGUGGUUUGGUCUUUAUUUUAAGACAAUGCCUCCUGAACCCCAGACAGGCCUCUAAGUAGCCUUGGCUCACCUUUAACUGAUCCACCUCUGUGCACCUCCCAACUGCUGGGAUUAUAGGCGUGGUCUACCACGCCCAGCUUUACUGACCGUCUUGACCUAUCCUCCAAAAACACUAUUUCCCAUCUGUAUUAUGGGAGGAAGGACGAGAUAACCGUGAGAUCAAUAUUAUGGAAAUAGCUAUUAAUCAUGCACUGCUUGCUAAAAAGUUCAUGCCAGGUACUAAAUAAAUCAGAAAGCAGUCGUUAAUAAACACUUGUUGAGUUUCGUUUGACCCUCUCCUGGGUACUGGGGCCUAGAUGGCUUCCCGAAUCGGUGCUCUCUUCUGCCCUCUCCACCUCUGUGGAGCGUGAGUAUCCGUAUCCAGCAGUGUCUGCUAGGCUAUGAAGAGUUCUCACACAUGCACAUGCUUUCUCUGGUAGGGGAGGCGAAUUCCCAAAACUAAAACAGUGUAAGACAUCAGUAUGAGAACUUACAUGUUCUUGAACACAAAUUCAGGAUAUAUGGCCAGCUUUUUUGUUGAUAAUGUGAGCCCUUUCUGAUCUCACAGUGUCUUUUAUUGUGUACAAAAUGAUGGGUGUGUGUACUCACAGAGCUGUCACCCAGAACAUUUCCAGCUUAGCCAUGGCCCCUGUCACUCAAUAGAUUGCAGGGUUACCAAUAUUAAGAACUCAGUCUUCAUAUGUCAAUUGUUCUGGUAUUUGAACUAUUCAUGGGGAAACAGAGGGUGAACAUUUUUCUCUCCGUGAGAUUUCUCUGUGGUGUUGUAUGUAACCGUGGCUCAUUCUUCACCACUGCAUAUUCAUUAAAUAACCAACACUUUAUGCCC